GGGGAUUCAGGAAAUCCGAUUAAAGUGGGCGGCAAAGUAGUACCCCGAGUGGGCUUGGCGUAAUAUUUUAAAUCUAAGCUUCAUAAAUUCUAGUUUUCCGACUCGCGUUCACACAGCAACAUAAAAGGUUCACGAUUAAGGAAAAAACGUUUAAUUUAGAAAAAGGAUGGACAAAUAUUGAGCGCUUUUAACGAUUCUCAGGAUGAUGUUCCGGAAUAACUUGAAUAACCAGUCUAUAGGGUCUGCAGAUUUUCCGCCACACCAAAUUGUUUUUCGCGCGAUUCGGCCAACCCACCUAUAUGUACAUAUAUGUAGGUAUCUGCAUGUAUGUAGAAACCGCUCUCGAUUUUUGGCACCUGCGAGAUGCGCGCCCACGUUGUGUGCGAUUAUUCAAUUAUGUGUGUGCUGAUAUAGAAGCGGAACGACGGGGAGCAACCCUCGCCACCACAAGGCUAAUGCUCUUCCGUGAAUUUCCACGCAAUCAGCUAUUGGACUCGAUCCAUUAGCGGCUUGCAGAUAAGGGUACUGAUUUCACAAGUGCUUUACGCAUUUCAACGGACCCGGAUCGCCUUUAUGAAUGAAUCACAUCGGCGAAUGUCCAAGAAGUCCAAGGAUGGCGCCAUGAAAUAUCGAAACUAGUCAACGUUAUAUCGAUAGAUUAUAAGAUAUUUUUUUCGAUAUAUUUAACGUGUCAUCUUUGUUUCUAUAGAUGAUAUUAUAAAAUAUCGAAACUAGUUAACAUUAUAUCGAUAGGUUACAAUUUUCAACAGUGUCACCCAUAUUUUUUAUUUGAAGAAAUGUACAAAACAAAUUUUGGCAAUAAUACACAUUGAAGGAGGAACACUUCCAUGGAUGGAUAUCGGUCGGCAGGUUGAACCCACUACAUGAGACAGGAUACCACACACCCUGUGCAAGAUGCAAGUUCCCUUAACGUUCUGUGCGCCUGGUACACAUUGCAUAUAAAGGCAAUAAGGAAAACUGGAACUAAUACCAAAUGCUUCACGGUCUAGGACCAUCGACAACGCCAUUUCCAGAUGAAAGUGGGCUAUGAUCCUUAAGAAAACACCCAUCAUAACGGCUUACUCUGUUCUUGAACACACCACUAUUAUAUGACCUGUGGAGCCCAGCACCAGCUGUAAAUUCAACUCCUCACCAGACUGGAGGCAUUCUGAGUUCAAUACUAUAUGCAUUCAGGAACUGUUUCUACUAGCGUACGGUUUCUCAAUCAGACCGGGAAAACCAGUAGAAGCAAUAGGUCUCCCGGCUACGCCAUUUCCAAGUGGAAACGGACGGUUGCUAGUGCAUGUGCUUGAUGCAGCACUUUCAUGCGUGGACCAUUCUCCGAGCCGAAAAGAUUGACUUGAUUCAACAGCAGUUAAUGGACUGCAGCCUCACCGACAACAUGACCGCAGCCCCGGAUGACUGCAUCCAAAUUUUAAUCUGGAAUUUUUAAGUUUUUAAUUUUUUUUUUAUAGUUCUUGUAACAUUUAAAUUCAUUAAAAUGUAAAUAGUCGCAACUACUUUGAUCUCUCAAUUCAGU